GACGAACGCUGGCGGCGUGCCUAAUACAUGCAAGUCGAACGGUUUAGUUCCAAGAGGCUUGCCUUUUGGAACUAGACAGUGGCGGACGGGUGAGUAACACGUAGGCAACCUACCUGUCAAACCGGGAUAACCUCGGGAAACCGAAGCUAAACCCGGAUAAGCUCCUUUUUCGCAUGAAGGGGGAGUGAAAAGGUGCGACCUGAUGACAGAUGGGCCUGCGGCGCAUUAGCUAGUAGGUAGGGUAACGGCCUACCUAGGCGAUGAUGCGUAGCCGACCUGAGAGGGCGUACGGCCACACUGGGACUGAGAUACGGCCCAGACUCCUACGGGAGGCAGCAGUAGGGAAUCUUCGGCAAUGGGCGAAAGCCUGACCGAGCAACGCCGCGUGAGUGAGGAAGGCCUUCGGGUCGUAAAACUCUGUUGUUUGGGAAGAAGGGAAAGGGUAGGACCCUUAGGUGACGGUACCAAACGAGAAAGCCCCGGCUAACUACGUG
rnacentral:rRNA from 1 species